UACGAAGGGGGCUAGCGUUGCUCGGAAUCACUGGGCGUAAAGCGCACGUAGGCGGAUUGCUAAGUCAGGGGUGAAAUCCUGGAGCUCAACUCCAGAACUGCCUUUGAUACUGGCAACCUUGAGUCCGGGAGAGGUGAGUGGAACUGCGAGUGUAGAGGUGAAAUUCGUAGAUAUUCGGAAGAACACCAGUGGCGAAGGCGGCUGACUGGACAUGUAUUGACGCUGAGGUGCGAAAGCGUGGGGAGCAAACAGG
rnacentral:rRNA from 1 species